AUAAUACACAAGGAAAUGAACGUAAUUUCAGCUUGCUUCAUUUUCAUCCGUUUUGUUUACAGUUGUUUCCAUUCUGCUGGGACUGCCUUCUUGAGAAGUCUUGUCUGUUUGUUCAGAGAGUUGUUCAGCUUGCUUUGAUGAAGGUGCAAUAUUACCUUUCUGAAGAAUUUCAGUUGCUUCAUGCUCUAGUACCUCUGACGGAGUCAAAGGCUCCAAAUGAAUACUGCCUUGUUCACUCAUGUCUGAAUUAACUGAUUCAGGUUCAUUUCUUUUUCUCAAGAACUGCUCAAAACUAACAUCUUCACCCAAAGUUAGCUUUAAGUCCCUUGCAUUCAUUGCUGAAAGUGUAGUUUUAUCCAAGUUUUGCACUUUAGUCUGAUCAGUCAAGACAACAUAAUCUGAACUUUGGCAAGUUUUCAACUCACUUUCUCCAUGAAUACAUUUUUGUUUCUCUCCUACUGAUUGUUUGUGAUGAUCUGAAUCACAACGUGUUCCUUUCCCAUGCAAAGAUUUCUUCGUGCUGUUAUCAGGGAGUUCCAAAUUGGGAACAUUUUCUGUGUCUGACAAUGAUGAGUUUUCUUCAUUCUUUUCAACUGAUGCAACUUCAUUUUGGUUUCUAUUGCCUUCUUUUGUUUCCUCUGAAGAAUCAAGCCCCUGUUUGUCAGAUACUUGUUCAGCAGUUGGUAAAUCUACAGAAACAUUCUCUAUAAUAACUUGACAAGCAUGAGUAUGGCUUUCACUCAGAUGUGUGGCCAUCCUAUCUAAGCCAGAACCAUCAGUCAGAAAAUCACAGUUAAGACAUACUACAGUCACACCUCUUAGAUCUUCUGAAUGCUUCUUGUAUAUCCAAAAUCUUUUACUUGGACGAGCACUGUGAAAACUCAUCAUGUGAUUCACAUAGGCUUUGCUACAGCUAGUAUUGUAUCUGCAUAAGCUACAAUGGACAUACGCAGGAAAGUGGCUUGCAAAAUCUUUUAUUUCUGAGUAACACUCAAUGCAUUUGUGAGCUCCCAAACGACACCUUAGAUUAUGCAAUGCUGUAUUUGUAACCUUUUUUUUUUUGCUGCUGCUGUUGGUCCAUGCAUUUUGCUUCUUCAGUGUAGUUGUUGGUUUUGAUCUUGCUUUUGAUUUAUUUGAAUU
rnacentral:lncRNA from 1 species